UAAUCCAGUUGCCCCCAGCAGUUUAAUUUCUCAAGGAUCGAUACAUAUUUGGCACCGCGGUAUUUGCUGGUAAUUGAAUCAGGUUUGCGCCACUUCCAUUAGGAAGUUACCAAUUUAAGGUAACCUAUACCUACGUCUACAUACCUACCAAAGGUACCCAGGUACCUUGAAACUGGUCUUGCACGAUAUCCACGUACAUGACUGAAUGAUAUAUGGAUACAGUAAAAAGGAUAAAUACAGGUAUACAAGUUAGGCAGGUGUAGCAGUUAAAUUUGAUGAUUACAUUUUAUAUCAAUUUCAGGUUAUGUAGCUGCAUAUGUAUUACACAAGGUAAUACACAGCCUAGACAAACUCCUUUUACCACGAGUAUCGUACUCCCAGACUCGAAGCGUACUUUGAAAGCAUCUAGGUACUCGCACAUGGAUACACUGCCUUCUUCUUUGAAGAAUAACAUUUUUCUCGAUUUCGCGAUACUCUUUUACAUAAUCCAUGGGAACGGACGCGUCGGGAAGCUACGUCUCUUCUAUUCACCAGGAAUAGGUGGAUAUGCAAGAUACUCCAAACUGUCAGAGAGACCUGCAAUACCGAUCUACCGAUAGCUGGUGUAUGGCUUAUGUAAAUGGAAGGUCGAUGAAUCAUCGGAUCGUCGCUCGGAGUCAUCGUCUUGGUUACUGAUGCACCGUUUAGAAUUGAUCGGUGGGAUCCAUUGAUCUUCAAGAUGAUAAUCUCCAAGGAACCAAUCAUUCCUCUACACCAGCUAGCAUACUAAUUAUCGAUCGAGCUAGCUGGCGACUCGUGGUCACUGCUACCAACUGACAGUUGUACGAUACUCGUGAUGUCAUCCGGUUCACUUCUGUUUUCUCAUUUUCUCUUUCGUUCAGCCGACCGUUCAGGAACAUCCCAAAGCGCACCCCCGAAGACGCAGACGUAGUACUGAGUGCAAUCACGUGGAUGAGGAUAGUAGCCGAAUUCUUCGGGGCAUUCAAAAUCCAGAGCAGCAUCGUUCCGACUGGCACGUGUACUCCUGGGCGUGUUACGCUGAGAAUCUGCAAGCAGCGACAACGUCUGAUUAGAAUAUAGUAAUUGAAAAAGUCGGAGAUCGUUAGUCAAGUAAAUUAAUUAAGGACGCAGUUCAGAUCGGUUAACGGAAAAAUAAUUGGAAGAACCGGAGAAUUACACGUGCUGUUAACCACAUUGUUACGGAAAGCAAUCAAAGUCUACUGGCACAAUACGGAUUGGCGCAACCGAAUUAACCUACUGCUGUUCCCUUAAUUACGAAGGAUCGUUAAGAAAAACGUUAAUUCGUUCCACGGCGUCGAUAAUAAAUCCCAGGCGCACGCGAAACGCAACGCCGAUGAUAGGUUAUGUCAUGUAUUAUAUUUCUCUUGACGAACAAUACAAAGGAUCUACAGCGGGACUGGGAGCGUUUGGAUUAAUUGAAGAAUAAAAAUUAAUGGGAAUUUAAAUAAAAGAACAGAUAUAAAGAGCCUACUUAAAUUCCACUGUUAACUCGCGUGUCUGUUCCCAUGCUCCGUGCAGAGAGAAUACGAGACAAAACCGUUACGUAAUCGUUACGAACGUUACGGAGUCACCGAGUUACUGCCUAAUAACGGACAUAAUGAAUCUGCGUGGAACCCAGAGCCAAAGGCAAUACAGGACGAGUCUCUGGAGUCUGUGGUUUAUGUUGCGGAGCAAGAACAAUUAGAUCGCUAUUAUUGUCAGCACGCUCAGCUUGCGAUUCAGAAUUGAGGAAAGACUGAGGAAAUAAUCGAUGCUGUUACGCCUAUGCAUAAUGUAUACAGCGAUAGAAGUUAAUAGCGGCAGAGCGGUAAUAAGUGCAUAAAAUGAAGUCCAGUUGAUUUCCUGGCGACAUUGGCUGUGUCUAUCGCUAUCUCUCUCUCGCUCAUCUUUGUCAUUCAGACUCGUUCGUCUUUGUCAGAUGGUAAUGCCAAAGUUGAAGGAUAAUCAGGAAAUUAUUUAGACAGUUAAUUAUUUAAUUAUUCACUAAGACGUCAUUCGCGACGAUAGAUAUCACGUUAUGAUUUCUACUAGCGAUAGACUGGCGAGUGUGACAUUUAAAAAAAUGUCUUGUCUAAGCAGUUUUUUUUGUGUAAAUAAAUUUUUCAAAAAUUCCUCAACCGAGGACACUCGUAUUGACGGAAGUUAAUGCGAGAUCUUUAUUUUGUUCGUGAGAAAUAAUGUAAAUUUGUACAGCGAACGUCAAUGGCCGCGUGUUACUUGUGUAUACCAUAUAUAAGAAACGUAAGCCAGGGUAAGGUUAGGUAAGGUAAGAUAAGGCGGAACCGUAAGGCAGUGCAAGGGAGAAUUUAGCAAGGCGGGAGAAGUGAAAGUCAUGCGAAUGAUAGAGAGAGCCCAGGAUAAAAGAGUCGUCGAGUGAAUGAGUGAAAGUGAGUCGGAAUACCGAAGUCGGGGUUUCAGAAACUGGAGCAUGGCUUGCAUAAUAUCGGACAGUUUGAACAGUUUAAGAGUCCCGUAACGUGAAUACGCCUCGUGGACAUUUGACUUGCUUAACGGUUGCAAUGGAUGAAGCCUUGCCUGCCAGGGAAUUGGGAACGAGGCGGAUUUUAAUUUCUAAUCGCGCCUUAACAGAUGUUGAUACGCAACCACGUUCUGCAGCCAACUUCAGUCUGCUACGUCGCACGGUUGUGCCACAAUGGAAAUUAUGCGAAACGGGAAUCCGUUUGGAGGUUAGGAUAACUUCGUUAAGUAAGGUGCGCCACUGUUACUUCCAUAUCAAGGACGUUCCUUGGCCAGAACAAUAGUUCUGUUAUCUCGCAUUCACCACUAUGAAAUGACCUCGGACCAAUCGCUUCCGAUCUUUUGAUAACGCAAUGCAAACCCCCUGGAGAGUCAUUGUGUUUGAUCAGCACUGAAAUCUGGAGCAGGUCGACAUCCACGAUCUAACGAAACUCCUGAAGAAUUUCCACAUCGACUAUCCGAAGCACUGCUGCCAUUUGAAAUUCUCUAAAAUAAAUAUGAUGCGUUAAUGCCGAUCGUGAAUUGCAUUGAUUAUGUUACAGAACGCAACAGUAACGCCCUCUCAGGAAUCCCCCUGUUACUACAGAGAUCUCGACCUGGACGGUAUUUGAUAUUUGAUCUCACGAUCCUCGACAAGGCCUCCAGAGUGCUUGGAAGUCACGAGAGUCUUGGAAUAAAUAGGAAAAGUCCUUUCAAAAGCCAAUAGCAAUAGUAUGCUGUUAAUGCAGGGCGGGGAUCGUUCGCAGAGUGUCUACGCUGCACGUUGCGCACACCGAAUCCAUCUAGACAAUGGCUAUAUAGAUACGUAGGAAUAAUGGCGUCCCUUCUAACGAGCCUAGACCGGCGAACCGGUCGCAAGUCUACGAAAUGGUGGGAAUGGAAAGAUAUUGGACCGUAAAAGAAGGCUGCACUGUACUGCACUGCACUGCGCCAUAUUACAGUGCUUCAGGCUCUGAAAUCAGUGCUUUGCCAAUCUCCGUAUCUCACCUUUGCUAUCUAUAUAUGUAUAGUGAAUUGCCCAGUCAGGAUAGGAGGUAUAUAUACUUGGAAGCGUAUAUAUUAUUACGUGGCGAUAAACAGCCUCUUGUAGAGCUGUAUACGUGGAUCUCUAUACUGAGAGCCAGUUCUGCGAAGGUGGAGGUACCAGGUUAUUUUACUCUGGUGCAAUAAAAGGGCAUGCAUCUACGUGCUCUAUAUAUAUAUACCUGGUGAUUCUUGUAGGAGUUUUAAAAGACAUGCUGAAUAUGGAAAUACAAUCGAAUGUCCUUGCUGGUUUUAAUAAUUCUUCACGCUGACUUCUGACUCUUGAGAUUGCACCGGGGAACUCUUGAGAAAAUACUUCCGUUCUUGGAAGACUGCUUAGAAUUACAAGAAAGACGCAGAGGAGUGGACUCCAUUUUAUGUAAGUUUACAUCACAGACUGGAACGCGACUCUCCCGCAAAAGGAGUAUCGCAAUAGUUACGGAGUAUCACGACGAUCGACGCUUUGGCAUCGGGACGUCAUGAGUUAACCUAUAGAGAAAUGCGUCCUUGAAUCCUCAAUCACGGAAUUCCACAAUCAGCUGACAGACUGCCAAGCGAGUCAUGUCACACAGAAUCCUGUCGACGCACUAAAGAGAGAAACUCGUACAACAAUAAGCGUUAUGACAGACAGUUACAAGACCUGGCGAUAGAAAACAACGAGAAAAUAUGCCUAAUAGAUGUUAAAGGAGAGCGAGAGAGACAAGAGAAAAAAGAAUCUACAGUAGGAAUAAAAGAUACGUUGCUGAUCUUCGUAUAAUACCAAUGAUUGUCCAGACGAUGCUUGAAAAUUUUGAGAAAGGUAUUUGGUCAUGAAUUUGACUCGACAAGUAUUUCUGUCCUCGUCUGGCGCACGUGGUCGCGCAUAGGACCGUCUUUCUCGCACUCACGGCAGGGUUAUAUAUGUUUCGACUGUGUACGAUUAACGAUAAGGUUUCCACGGGUCUGUGGUACUUCAACCGAUCCCACGGAUCGAUCAAGGCUUUACGUUACUUUCUGGAUCGACCACGGGAAAGGCAGCCAAGCCCGUUCCUUUUACUGGACGCCAUUACUAAAUGCUCUGUGAAACAUUGGCGGAAGUAAGGUCGAACAUCGAUUAAGAGAACUCAAGUCAUUAUAGUGGGACAUGGAUAUCUGAGCGGCUUUUAGUUGCCGCUUAAGGCUCCAUAACGUUCAUAAUACAAAUUACAUAUUUCCUAGUGACAAAAAAAUCAUUUCAAAAGAAUACAAAAUUCCCUAAACAAUGGUAAUACAAAAAUAAUAUGUAAGAAGAGGAUCCAUGGAUGAAGACGCUAAUGAUUCAUCCAACGACCAAGCCCACAGAGGAUGCAACCGAUAUAAGAACAUCAGAAUCGAAUCCUUGAUUAGUAUUCUUAAAUAAAAAAUGCACCAGGAAUAUCGUACUCUUGGAAAAAAGAAGGAGGAAAAAGAACGUGGACACAGUUAAAAUUCUGAAAGAAGAAAGAGAAUUCAAAUAUCACCUAUAAUCCAGCCAGAGCUUCCCUAUGAGAUUAUACGAGUGGGAGCAGCCAUUGGAUUGCGUUACCGGCGUCACUUAUGCAGUGUUAACCAAUCCACGGUGAAAGAGCAAGUAGCAUCCGUUUCCCAUAGUACGAGCCAGAGUAAAAGUACAGGUAUGAUCGUAUGUGGGAAAAAUGAUAAAUUAAAGAAAAAACUAUCCAAGGACAAUUACUAGGGAGAAAAAUAAAAACGAUAUAAUAUAUAUAACGAAAAGGUAAAUGUUCAUCAGCUUUAAUAACACUUGCGCAAGUUAUAUUUCGAACGGAAUUUCAAAUCGUCCCGGGUUCUUUCGCAACGUACAUUUUUCCCAUGGGAUUUAAUAGAUGGCGCAUUAGACCAUAGAGUAUACAGUACGUACAUAGAAUAGAGAUACAGUAGGUGGAAGGUGACGGUAUUAAAUUAACCCUACCAAACUCUGAAAACAGCGCUGUGCGGCUUCGUGUAAUCAAGCGUCCGCACGAUAUUCCCUGUGACCGUUUUCUUCGCGCACGUGCGAAAGUGGCGUAAGUCGUUGAUUUCGCUGAGCGCAACGAAGGUUUCACCUUACGUUUCCUCGCAAUGAUACCGGGUAGACAUAUUAUAGAAUGCCAUAUUGAAAAUAGUUUUAAAAAAUUCAAACGCUCCGUAACGAGAGUGACAAACAUUUUACGAGAAACAGUAAAACUUGCCAACCGGUAUGAAAGGUAUACAAGAUUAAUUGUAGUUACAUAUAUAUACUUUUUUUCCAGCAUUCCUAGAGGGUAAUAAUAUAUCAAUAAAGAAUAGCCCCUGGCGUCGUGGCGUAACUCAUGAAAAUCACUCUUGCUCUUUUCCUUUUUCAAAGGUUUACUGACCGACAGCCUCUGUGAGAUUCGUAUCUACGCGAAGAAGAGAGAUAAGGACGAAAUGAAAAAAAAACUAGGUUGGAGAAAAUGCAUCGCCUGGUAAAUGGUGAAUCAGGCUCGCUCAACUUUAAUCUUAAAGGCAAUCAGAAGAUAUCAGGAUACCGCAGAUACGUGUAGCUAAGUUAGCCAUGGAGUAAGGAUGAGAAUAAUUGAAGAACGGGUAGGAAUACCUGACCUACGUUACUGCUGGAUAAAAUCCAGUAACCCUUUUCUUGAUAAUUGGCAAAAAAGGAUUAUUGCCAAGAAGGAUAAUCUGCUGAGGUUUGAAUUUACCAGGACUUGAAAAACUGUAAGUUGUUACAGUUGGUAUUCCUUAGCGAGACCGUUGGUACGUACCCUAUCUACCUACAAUCCUGGCUUAACCGGUAAACAGAUAUUUGUAAUACCAGCAGUAAGGAUUUCGUAAAGCGACAAACCUUUUUUUCCUGCACACAAAACGACUACGUGAGACAUUGCGAGAUCUUCGCUACAGGAGUCUGGAUAAAUAAUAGCUUACAGCUAAAAUGCAGAAUGUAACAAGAAGAAGAAAUUGAUGCAAUGGAGUGACUUAACACCCUCGGACGUACCUCAGGUAUAUGCACAGGAUGUAGUUUAUAUAUAUAUAUUUCUGUCCAUUUCCGCGUGCACCGGUUAUUCAACGGUCCCUCUUACGCAAUUUAUACUCUACUGACAUUUUCAUGGAUCACGUAGUACAGUAAGACGGCUACGAGUUUCGUACGUAUUUAUCUUGCAUAUACGUUUCACAGUCUAGUGGGUUAAAUUUGUAGCAAUAUACAUUUGCUAACUGUUAGAAUGAAUUUAAUUAUAAUUGACUGUUAAAGGAGAAUCAAGCGGCUUGUAUAUUUUCUGAUCGAUUUCUACUGCGGUAAAGGAAUCCGAUCGUCCGUGAAAGGAACUAUCGCGUAACGCUUUGGCUUUACUAUCAAUGUCAAAAAUCUUGAGGUACCCGUGAGAAUGAUUGUAAGGAAAAAAAAACAGGCUGCCUGAAAUUUUCCAAAAGAAACUAGGUGUUACGUGGAUACCUCGUUCGAGUGGAAGAACCGUCGAUAAUCAUAAAGGUCGGUGUCGUAAAAGUGGAAACUCAUCCUGGAUCGUACAGCGACUCCUUUCAAGCAUUAAAAACGAAGCAGCACGCUUUGUUAGUUACCCAGCCGUUAAAAAUUCAAGACGUUACUUAUUGCAAGAAAAUUAAGAAGAAGAAAAAAACAAAAGGAAACUCACCCCCGCU